rnacentral:misc_RNA from 1 species
GAAAUGCGAUAAGUAAUGUGAAUUGCAGAAUUCAGUGAAUCAUCGAAUCUUUGAACGCACAUUGCGCCCGCCAGUAUUCUGGCGGGCAUGCCUGUUCGAGCGUCAUUUCAACCAUCAAGCCCCGCGCUUGUGUUGGGGACCUGCGGCUGCCGCAGGCCCUGAAAACCAGUGGCGGGCUCGCUGUCACACCGGGCGUAGUAGAUUUUAUCUCGCUCAGGGCGUGCUGCGGUUUCCGGCCGUUAAAAAGCCUUUUUUACCCAAGGUUGACCUCGGAUCAGGUAGGAAGACCCGCUGAACUUAAGC